CAGCCGCCGCGGGAAUACGAAGGGGGCUAGCGUUACUCGGAAUUACUGGGCGUAAAGGGCGCGUAGGCGGCACGAUUAGUCAGGCGUGAAAUGCCCCGGCUUAACCGGGGCACUGGCACCGAUACGACCGGCCUGGAGGGGAGUAGGGGGGUCGGGAACUUCCGGUGGAGCGGUGAAAUGCGUUGAGAUCGGAAGGAACGCCCGUGGCGAAAGCGCGGCCCUGGACUCUUUCUGACGCUGAGACUCGAAAGCUAGGGGAGCGAACGGGAUUAGAUACCCCAGUAGUCCCUGUCUCUUAUAC
rnacentral:rRNA from 1 species